CGCGUAGGCGGCCUGCUAAGUCGGACGUGAAAUCCCUCGGCUCAACCGAGGAACUGCGUCCGAUACUGGUGGGCUUGAAUCCGGGAGAGGGAUGUGGAAUUCCAGGUGUAGCGGUGAAAUGCGUAGAUAUCUGGAGGAACACCGGUGGCGAAGGCGGCAUCCUGGACCGGUAUUGACGCUGAGGCGCGAAAGCUAGGGUAGCAAACG
rnacentral:rRNA from 1 species